UUUAAUUUCAAGCGUUUCACUGCAGAUUGUAGCGUUACACUGAAGACAUGACAAAACUAUUUAACGUCAGAUUAGGGUGUCUUGUUGGUAUAGUUUGGGUUAUUUACGUUGCAAAUGGAUACCAAUACCAAAUCGAGUUAAGCACACCAGAUUCUGGUCCUGUCUCAAUUAUAGACGGUUUCACUUAUAUAGAUCAUAUCAAAUACUUGAAUAAGUAUGGACACUCUGGAAAUUCCCUCAUAUUCAAAUUUAGUUGUGACGGUGCUCGAAUAAUAUUACUAGAAACCACCAGCAAGUCGACAGAUCAAGGAAUAUAUGAAAUUGUCUUGUAUCCUAAAUCACGUCCAGAAAAAAUUGUUGUGCGUCGUAACAAAGAUGGCGUUAUUGAAGAUCUUGUAAGCAGCUUAAUUCCAGGACUACUUGAACAUGUUGAUUGUCCUAACUUUCAUCCAAUCUGGAUAGCAUGGGCAAAUGGAUUUUUUAGCCUCGGGAAGGGGCUAUCUCUUUAUGUGAAUAAAGUCCACAACUGGACAGAUCCGGAGCCUUUUGUCAUAACGUCAACCGGGAUAAUGACGUCAUAUGGUGCUUCUGGGAAGUGGAUAAUUUACAUUGAAGCACCGUUUCCUGGAAAGUUUGGAACAUGCAGUAUGUUCAAUACACGAGCAAUGAUGACAAUUUUGGAAGAGUACACAUUGAUCAAUGAACAACGUUGUGGACAUAUAUGCUCGAAUAGAGAAAACUGUAUGGGGUUCAAUUAUAAUAUCGUCAGCAAAUCUUGUGCCCUUGUUUCAUCCGGAGAGAUAAUACACACAGCUAGUGUUCCUCAUUGGGUUUUCUACACACGUGGCCUACCUGUACAAAGUACAGGCCUAUAUUUGGCUUGCUACUAAUGUAUAUUCUAGUUUUAUUGUAUUGGUGGGUUUCUGUAACCUAUUUUUCAUAUUCUUAUCCCCAAUGUUCCAGAUAUUAUAUAAAACACGUUUGUUUCUGGAAGUCUGAUGACUACUGUUACUUGACAGAAAGCUGAUAACAACCUGAGCGAGAAUUAAGUAACUGAAGAAGUUCGAAUGUUUAUAU